AGUGGGAUAGCUGGGUCAAAUAGUGGUUCCAUUCUAAAUUUUUAGAGGAAUCUCCAUAUUUCUUUCCAGAGUGGUCCUAAUUUGCAGUCCUACCAACAAU
rnacentral:pre_miRNA from 1 species